GCUGAGGUAGCUCAGUGGUAGAGUACUUGCCUAGCAUGAAUGAGGCACUGGUUUCGAUCCUCAGAA
rnacentral:tRNA from 1 species